AUUUGACACUUGGUGUCAUCAGCUGUUUGGCUCUCGUUUAUUUUUCUGAACAGGCGGAAAAUUAAGAAAAAUAGAUUAUUAUCAAACACAAAUUGAAAGAAGUUAUGACUGAAACUAGGAUCUAAAGUUACAUUUACGCAAUGCAGAAGCUUCAACUAACGUUAGCCAUAAUAAAACCGCAUGCGGUGUCGAAUCCAGUAGUGCUUUCGUUCAUUAGAAAUAUUUUGAAAAAUAAAUUCAUCGUUGUGAAAACAAAAAGGGUAAAUCUAGAUACAGAGACUGCUUGCAGAUUUUAUCAAGAACAUGUUGGCAAGUUUUUCUAUAAUCGUCUUACUACAUUCAUGGCUAGUGGGUGCAUAGACCUACAUGUGCUGGGGCACGUGAAUGCUAUACAUCUGUGGCGGAAGAUCCUAGGGCCUACCAGCGUUUACAAAGGACAGUUUCAAGAUCCUUAUUGUUUGAGAGGCAUGUUUGGGAUAUCUGACACUAGGAAUGUUGCUCAUGGAUCUGAUUCUGAAGAUUCUGCUGAAAGGGAGAUCAAGUUCUUUUUCCCAGAAUUCUCCUUCUACCAUUGGCGCCUGGAUGAUGAAGAAUGGUUCCGGAGGGGUCCAAUAAUAUUCAAUGACCAUUUCUUUCAACAUGUUAAGAAGCUUUAGGUAGUACAAGUUAUAAAAAUAACUUGCUGAUAAUACUGUGGUAGUAAAAAUUUGGCAUGUUUUACAUAUUUUAGGGUUCUGUACACAUAUCAAGUGAAUUAAAAAUCGGCUUCUAUUUUCUUCUGAUGUGUAAGGUCUAGAUCUAGAGAGCCUAUAUAGUUAAAUAGAAAAAGUGGGUCUGGUUGUGCUAGCGUCAUAGUCCCGCCGAGUUACAGACGACCACCAUACAGUAAAAUAUGCUCUGUUCACACAUUAAUACUAAUCAGAAAAAAUGUGAUAUGUCAUUUAUCAAAUAAAAUGUCUACAGAGCCCUAAUUAUAGUUCUGCUAAUUCGCUAUGUUCCCGUCAAAUAGCUGUGCUUCACCAAAAUGAACUGUGUUAUAGCAAUAUUCACCAAAGAGUCACAAAGUAUGUAUUUAAAUAAUUGUACUCGUAUAGUGUGCCAAUAAAUUAAUUAAAUGCAUAAUAUUCUGUUCUAGUGUGAUGUAUACUAGCCUUAGAUUAAAGGUGCGUCUACACGGUGCAAGCAGCUUGCGCAUAUCAGGCACAUGCGUUUUAAAAACGUGCGGGUCCAGCGACGCGCACAUGUGCCAAAGCAAAAUACCCACCCGCAUGCGCGCGUCAAGGCUGAUUUACAUUGAGUCAGUAACUGA